rnacentral:lncRNA from 1 species
UCCCUGCAGAUGGCGGGGUGCAGGUCCGCUGUCCUGGGGCUCCAUCCAGCCCGUGGGUGGAUGGAUGCUCCCCCUUUUCCCCAUGAGCAGAGAUUUGUUUAGUUCUGUCUUUCCCAUAAUGUUUUUUUUCCUAACCUCAGUGAUUUUUAACCCUUUCCCUCCAGAGGGCUUUGUGCUGUGGUUUGCUAGCAGUGCAUGCCCUUGUUUUAUUCUGUGGACGUCCAGAAGAAUGGACAGAAGUCCAUUCUGCCACUGCUCGCUAGUAAGCAAAGGGCACAGGGGAGAAAACCUGCUUGAAAUGGUGUACCCCUCCCAGACAGAGCACUGUGACAAAAAAUGCAGAACUGGGGACACAGAGGCUAUCAAGCUCCUCGGAGUUCACAGAAGCUGUAACAGCACACCUUCAUAGGAUUUCUCCUCUGCUGGUGCUCAGUUUUUGAUCCCUAGAGAGACCCCAG